rnacentral:rRNA from 1 species
CGAGAAGGACGGUCCUCGCCCCGCGGUCUCCCCGGCGCCCGACGCACUUACUCCCCGCACUCUGGACGCCGCAAUGGAUCGGGUAGCUGCGAGAGUCGGCCUUGGGGCCGUCCCAGGCAGGUGGCCGGGCGCCGUGCUUCGGCCGGCGUCCCGGUUAUUCACGGGGCGGUUCGUGGCGCGACACCCGAUCGACGUCGACGUUCCCCCUACGGGGAACAGUCCGCCUCCGUCCUCCAAGGGCGCGGCGGCCGGGACAGUGAGCGCCGCAGACGCCGACCCACCCCUCGUGGUGGCCGGCGCUGCGGUGGCCGCCGUUGGUUCCGGUCGGGCCGCUGCGGGGCGACGCGGAUUGCGGCGAGUAGGUCGGUCACCCACCCGACCCGUCUUGAAACACGGACCAAGGAGUCUAACAUGUGCGCGAGUCGCAGGGUCUUGAACAGGCCCUCGGGCGCAAUGAAAGUGACGGUCUCACGACCGGGUUGGGACUCCCGUCCUGCGGGGCGGGAAGCACCAACGACCCGUCCCUUCCGAUCCGUCGGUGGGGCGGAGUCAGAGCGCACACGUUGGGACCCGAAAGAUGGUGAGCUAUGCCUGGGCAGAACGAAGCCAGAGGAAACUCUGGUGGA